GGCUAAGUAGCUCAGUGCUUAUACCAUAGGCUUGAAACCUAGUGUGCCCGGGUUCAAAUCCUGGCUAGGCCA